rnacentral:rRNA from 1 species
AACGAACGCUGGCGGCAUGCCUAACACAUGCAAGUCGAACGAGACCUUCGGGUCUAGUGGCGCACGGGUGGGUAACGCCUGGGAACCUGCCCUUAGGUUCGGAGUAACUGCCCGAAAGGGGUGCUAAUACCGGUUAAUCUCUUCCGACCAAAGAUGUAUCGCCUUUGGAUGGGCCCGCGUUGGAUUAGGUAGUUGGUAGGGUACAAGCAUACCAAGGCGAUGAUCCAUAGCUGGUCUGAGAGGAUGAUUAGGCACACUGGGACUGCGACCCGGCCCAGACUCCUACGCGAGGGAGCAGUGGGGAGUAUUAGACGCUGGGCGCAAACGUAAUACAGCCAUGCCGCGUGAGUGGUGCAGGCGUUAGUGUUGUAAAUCUGUUUUACCCGGGAUGAUAAUGACGGUACCGGGAGAAUAAGCACCGGCUAACUCCGUG